rnacentral:lncRNA from 1 species
GCUUCCAAAGUCCCUAAGGUCACAAUUGGGCUUAAAGGUUAAAUGCAUGAAAGUAAUGUUCAUUUUCAUGAUAGGAAUCAUGGUUCCAAGUCUAAACUAGAAUGCUAUAUCUCACAUGCAUGCACUCUACCACAUAGAGGUCCAAAAAUUUACUAUACAUUACAUAGACAUGUUAAGCAUUCUAAAAUUCAUAAAAAAUAUAUCAAACAUGAAUAUGCAUGCUUUCCCAUUUAACGAUACUCAAAUCAUCACAAAUGAGAUUUUCUCAUUGUGUGGCUAGGUUAAACCCACCGAACCGUCGCGUAGUCCCUCGUUUCGCCGAACGAAGUUGUCCACGAGUCUCAAAAUACCCUAAAAGUAAUGAGCGAAGAAAUACACAAGCAUUACGAGCAACUCUAGGCUCAAACAUUAACAAUCAAGGCAAAAUGGCUAAAACUCACUUAAGGAGUAGAAAAUCUUUCCCAAGCUCCAAAAGAGAGCCGAAUCCCUUCCAAUCCAACCAAAUGGAAGGUUCUAAUCCAAUUAAUCAAGCUCCGAAAGCCCUAGAUUCAAAAUGCCCAAAAUAAACCCUAAGUCUCCAUUCUAGGGUUUCAUCUCAAAACCAACAAUAAAAUUCAAUUCUAGAGGGAGAGAAUAAGUAGAUUACCUCUUAGAAGCCUCAAUCCAAGCUCUAAACUCUCUAAGUCCCAAGAUCUUCCCUCAACAAUCCACCAAAACCAAGCUCCAAGCUUUAACAAUGGUGAAAAAGUCUCUAAUCAAGCAAAAGAGAGUUUAAUCUCUUAAAAUCCCACCAAAAUCCAAAGAAAUCACAAGAAAAAUCAAGGAGGGCUCCCUUACCUCUAUUCUUGCUGUGGCAAGCUCAGGAGAAAGCCCUAGAGGCGUGGGGUGCUAUAUAGAAGGCCACAUUUGCGAAAAACCCCCUGUAGUUCAAACUGCUCAAAAACUGCCACUCCGUACCGGUACACGGGCCCACGUACCGGUACACCUCCCACGAAAAUGCCAAACCCGAGCCUCGGGUUGGCUGAGAUGCUGCCACAGUUGAUGGCUGUACUGGUACAGCCAUCACCCUGUACCGGUACACAGCCCACUGAAGGCUACCCGAGAGCUAACCAAAAAUUCGAUUUUUCGGAUUUUGGUGUUAGGCUUCAAACCUCAAUCCUCGGGAUACGAGCCAUAGGUCGGAAC